CCUACGGGAGGUAGCAGUGGGGAAUCUUGCGCAAUGGGCGAAAGCCUGACGCAGCCAUGCCGCGUGAAUGAUGAAGGUCUUAGGAUUGUAAAAUUCUUUCACCGGGGACGAUAACGACGGUACCCGGAGAAGAAGCCCCGGCUAACUUCGUGCCAGCAGCCGCGGUAAUACGAAGGGGGCUAGCGUUGCUCGGAAUUACUGGGCGUAAGGGGAGCGUAGGCGGAUAGUUUAGUCAGAGGUGAAAGCCCAGGGCUCAACCUUGGAAUUGCCCUUGAUACUGGCUAUCUUGAGUACGGAAGAGGUAUGUGGAACUCCGAGUGUAGAGGUGAAAUUCGUAGAUAUUCGGAAGAACACCAGUGGCGAAGGCGACAUACUGGUCCGUUACUGACGCUGAGGCUCGAAAGCGUGGGGAGCAAACAGGAUUAGAUACCCUGGUAGUCCACGCUGUAAACGAUGAGUGCUAGUUGUCGGCAUGNAUGCAUGUCGGUGACGCAGCUACGACAUAAGACACUCCGCCGUCGGGUAGGUACGGUCGCGAAGAAGUUAAACGUAACUAAUAGUAAGUUAGACGGUCGUUGAGACGUUGCCGACGGACGACGACGAGGGAGGAGG
rnacentral:rRNA from 1 species